rnacentral:rRNA from 1 species
AGCGAACGCUGGCGGCAGGUUUAACACAUGCAAGUCGAGCGGGCAUAGCAAUAUGUCAGCGGCAGACGGGUGAGUAACGCGUGGGAACGUACCUUUUGGUUCGGAACAACACAGGGAAACUUGUGCUAAUACCGGGUAAGCCCUUACGGGGAAAGAUUUAUCGCCGAAAGAUCGGCCCGCGUCUGAUUAGCUAGUUGGUGAGGUAAUGGCUCACCAAGGCGACGAUCAGUAGCUGGUCUGAGAGGAUGAUCAGCCACAUUGGGACUGAGACACGGCCCAAACUCCUACGGGAGGCAGCAGUGGGGAAUAUUGGACAAUGGGCGCAAGCCUGAUCCAGCCAUGCCGCGUGAGUGAUGAAGGCCCUAGGGUUGUAAAGCUCUUUUGUGCGGGAAGAUAAUGACGGUACCGCAAGAAUAAGCCCCGGCUAACUUCGUGCCAGCCGCCGCCGUAA